rnacentral:rRNA from 1 species
AGUUCGAUCAUGGCUCAGGAUGAACGCUGGCGGCAUGCCUAAUACAUGCAAGUCGAACGGAGUGAAGCCUUCGGGUUUCAUUCAGUGGCGAACGGGUGAGUAAUACGCAGGGAACCUGGCCAUGGCAGGGGGAUACACUCUGGAAACGGAGCAUAAGACCCCAUAGGCAGUAAGGCGGCAUCGCCUUACUGUUAAAGAAAGCUGAAAGGCUUUGGCGAUGGAUGGACCUGCGGUGCAUUAGCUUGUUGGUGAGGCAACGGCUUACCAAGGCGAUGAUGCAUAGCCGGCCUGAGAGGGCGGACGGCCACACUGGGACUGAGACACGGCCCAGACUCCUGCGGGAGGCAGCAGUAGGGAAUUUUCGUCAAUGGGCGCAAGCCUGAACGAGCAAUGCCGCGUGAGUGAGGAAGGUCUUCGGACUGUAAAGCUCUGUUGCCGGGGAAAAAGGGGAAAUGCAGGAAAUGGCAUUUCAUGGAUGGUACCCGGCCAGAAAGCCACGGCUAACUACGUGCCAGCAGCCGCGGUAAUACGUAGGUGGCGAGCGUUAUCCGGAAUGAUUGGGCGUAAAGGGUGCGCAGGCGGUCUGUUAAGUCUGAAGGCAAAGGGAAGAGCUCAACUCUUCUUUGAUUCAGAAACUGGCAGACUUGAGGACAGGAGAGGGCGGUGGAACUCCAUGUGUAGCGGUAAAAUGCGCAGAGAUAUGGAAGAACACCAGUGGCGAAGGCGGCCGCCUGGCCUGUGACUGGCGCUGAGGCACGAAAGCGUGGGGAGCAAAUAGGAUUAGAUACCCUAGUAGUCCACGCCGUAAACGAUGAGGAGCAGGUGUUGGGAGUGAAAUCUCAGUGCCGAAGCCAACGCAGUGACUCCUCCGCCUGGGGAGUAUGCACGCAAGUGUGAAACUCAAAGGAAUUGACGGGGGCCCGCACAAGCGGUGGAGUAUGUGGUUUAAUUCGAAGCAACGCGAAGAACCUUACCAGGUUUUGACAUCGGAUGCGAAGGCGCAGAGAUGCGCUGGAGGCUAUCAUCCAGACAGGUGGUGCAUGGUUGUCGUCAGCUCGUGUCGUGAGAUGUUCAGUUAAGUCUGGCAACGAGCGCAACCCCCGUGGUAUGUUACUAACGCAUUUGGGCGAGGACUCAUAUCAGACUGCCGGUGACAAACCGGAGGAAGGCGGGGAUGACGUCAAAUCAUCAUGCCCCUUAUGACCUGGGCUACACACGUACUACAAUGGCGUCUACAGAGGGAAGCGACCCUGAGAAGGGAAGCGAAACCGGAAAAGGGCGUCCCAGUUCGGAUUGAAGUCUGCAACCCGACUUCAUGAAGAUGGAAUCGCUAGUAAUCGCGGAUCAGCAUGCCGCGGUGAAUACGUUCCCGGGCCUUGUACACACCGCCCGUCAAACCAUGGAAGCCGGCAACGCCCGAAGCCGGUGGCAUAACCUUUUAGGAGUGAGCCGUCGAAGGCGGGGCCGAUGACUGGGGUUAAGUCGUAACAAGGUAUCC